UACAGAGGGUGCAAGCGUUGUUCGGAAUUAUUGGGCGUAAAGCGCGUGUAGGCGGCUCUUCAAGUCAGGCGUGAAAGCCCCGGGCUCAACUCGGGAACUGCGCUUGAUACUGUCGAGCUAGAGUGUGGAAGGGGCGAUUGGAAUUCCGUGUGUAGCGGUGAAAUGCGUAGAUAUACGGAGGAACACCAGAGGCGAAGGCGGAUCACUGGGCCAACACUGACGCUGAGACGCGAAAGCUAGGGUAGCAAACGGG
rnacentral:rRNA from 1 species